ACGCUCGACACCUACUGGAGGCAGCAGUGGGGAAUAUUGCACAAUGGGGGAAACCCUGAUGCAGCGACGCCGCGUGGAGGAAGAAGGUCUUCGGAUUGUAAACUCCUGUUGUUGGGGAAAAANGGAUGGUACCCAACAAGGAAGUGACGGCUAACUACGUACCAGCAGCCGCGGUAAUCUGAGCGGGCUGGCAAGGC
rnacentral:rRNA from 1 species